CUGGCACUGGCACUUGCUUACAUGAUUGCUAGUGCCGCCAACCCCGCUGCUCUACGCGUCUUGCCCUUUGCUGGAUGGAAGAUUGGAAAUGCCUGAGUCACUGGUUCUACGCUAUUGAUUCCCACCGGAGCUGCCGCCGCGCGCCGCCUCAUUAUCAACGUGGCUGGUCGAGGAUUCCACAUAACGUGAUUCCUGUCCUCAGCAGAUACGAAAUAUUGUUCGAGACCUGAGCUUCACCAGUCACGCUCCCAUGGACUUCGUGACUGGCUGUUCCGCCGCUGCACACCUCAAUGAAGAAAGAACAAGACUACACAACUGAUGAGGUUUACUGUGUAUGGAAUUAAACCCCACUACAACUGUGGUUUAUUGGCGAAAGCUGACAGUUGCCCACGUCUUGAAGAGAAGACGUGGAGCAGAAAUCAGUCACCUUCCGCCAAUAAAGCACAGUGGUAAUGGUGUUUGUCUCCACGCCCCCACACACUUCAUCUCCCAAUCCUGCCUGUCCUGUUCAUCCCAUGGAAGUGAGAUCAACCAGAGAGAGACGGGAAGGAAUAGUUGUGAAAGAUGGAGAAGGGAGAAAAAGGAAGCCAGACUGGGGGACUUUGGAGUGAUAUUCUUCAGCAGUGGAUAGGACUGACCAAUGUUGUUCACGAUGUGUUCCAGCGUCCAAUGUUUGCGAAGAAGGGCAUGGCCAAGGGUCCAGGGGCCAUAGCGCACACACCGCAGCUGUGUGCACACAGCACUGGUCUUCAGCUUGAUGCCAAGGGAGUGAAUCAGUUCCUUGAGGUAGUCUCCAGUCUCAUUGAUGCUUGACACUUCUGUUGAGGGAAGAGAAGUACACAGUAGCUACAUUUCAUACAUAAGAUUUGAUCAUAAUGAAGACUGCUUUCAUA